CUGGGAUAACCGCCAUCGAAAUGGCCGAAGGAAAACCACCAUAUGCAGAUAUAUACCCUGUGGAGCAGCUGAUUAGAGAAGCCCAACCACCGAAGCUUCAAUCAGACAGAUGGUCACAACGUUUUGUGUCCUUCUUGGAUUCCUGUCUGAAGAAGGAUCCUUCAGAGAGAGGAGUGCUGAAGAACUCCUGC